rnacentral:rRNA from 1 species
AUGGCCGCCACCUGCCGCUUCGCCGCGCCACUGGGUCUCGCCCCGCUGCCUCGAAGCUGCGCCGGCGCCAAGAGCGUCGCUUUCUCGAUGGGCACCACCAAGGUAGCUCCACGGACACGGAGCGUCGCGGUGAGGGCGGGCGACGGCCCGGCGGAGACGCCGGAGAUCCUCAAGGCUGCGCAGGACGCGUGGGCAAAAGUUGAGGACAAGUACGCCGUGGCCACCAUCGGCGUCGCCGGGCUCGUCGCGCUCUGGACAGCAGUGGGGGCGCUCAAGUCCAUUGACAAGCUUCCUAUCUUGCCUGGUGUGUUGGAGCUCGUUGGAAUCGGGUACACAGGAUGCUGCUACUUCGUGUUCACACAGUGGUUCACAUAUCGCAACCUCAUCUUUCAGCCAGACAGGUCAGUUCAUCCUGUUCAUGUGAUCUUCCUUUUUUUUCCUGUCACACCCAUCGCUCUCAGCAGAGGGAACAAUGGAGAACAUCUCUUAUUAAGUUUACAUCCAUAUCUUACAUUGUGA